AUACGGAGGGAGCAAGCGUUGUUCGGAAUCACUGGGCGUAAAGCGAGUGUAGGUUGUCAGGUAAGUAGGAUGUGAAAGCCCGGGGCUCAACCCCGGAAUUGCAUUCUAAACUGCCUGGCUAGAGUCCCGGAGAGGGAGGUGGAAUUCCGAGUGUAGAGGUGAAAUUCGUAGAUAUUCGGAGGAACGCCAGAGGCGAAGGCGACCUCCUGGACGGUGACUGACACUGAGACUCGAAAGCGUGGGGAGCAAACAGGAUUAGAAACCCCAGUAGUCC
rnacentral:rRNA from 1 species